AGUAGCGGCGAGCGAACACGGAAGAGCCCAGCGCUGAAUCCCCGGGUCCGUUGGGGCCCGCGGGAAAUGUAGCGUUAGGGAGCGUCCGUUAACUCGGGCGCGCGCGGCGAGCACAAGUCUCCCUUGAACGGUGCCAUAAUCCAUAGAGGGUGCCAGGCCCGUACUGCCGCUGCCGCGUCCGAGUGGGCGUCUCCUGGGAGUCGGUCUGUUUGAGAACGCAGACCUAAGUGGGUGGUAAACUCCAUCUAAGGCUAAAUAUGACCACGAGACCGAUAGCGCACAAGUACCGUGAGGGAAAGGUGAAAAGAACUUUGAAGAGAGAGUUCAAGAGUACGUGAAACUGGAGAGGUGAAAACGGAUGUGGCUCGAAAUUCCGAACGUGUGGUGUUCAGUCUCACCGUGUCCGGACCUCCCGUCCGCUGAGAUCAAGGGGCCUCGCCGGCGUGCGGCCGUUCCUUCGGGGCGGUCGUCGCGUCGCCCGGUCCCCUCUCGGGCGGGGUUAAAUAAUGGUUCCGGUUCGGUGUGGAUGCACUCACCACCGUAGUAGGAUGUCGCGACUCGUUGGGUGUCGGUCGCGAGGCUGGGCGGGGUAGCCCGGUGUCCGUGUGUCUCGCGCCUCUGAGGUGAAAUGCGAGCAGUGCGUCCCGGACCCGUUUUUCCCAUGUCCUCUCCGGCUGCCCGACGGUAUCGAAGGCGAGACGGCGAUUUCGCGCCCGCUGAAACAUUGCCCCUUGCUCGUCUCGGGGUAGGCGGGUUAGAGCGCCGUCUGUCUGCGGCAUUGCCUGAUUCGGGUCCACAUCCGACCCGUCUUGAAACACGGACCAAGGAGCGUAACACAUGCGCGAGUCGAAGGGUGCUACUAAACCCGGAGGCGAAGCGAAAGCGUAAGGGACGAUGGCCAAACACACAGGUCGUGCUCUCCCGGCUCUACGCCGGGAACCGGCCGGCCCGCAGUCCCGGGGCACCUCAUACGGCUCUGGCAGGGUUCCCCUCGCGGUUUUCGGCCGCGGGAAUUCCCAGUCUGAGUCGAGGCGCACCUGAGAGCGUAUGUGUUGUUACCCGAAAGAUGGUGAACUAUGCCUGGCCAGGACGAAGCCAGGGGAAACCCUGGUGGAAGUCCGUAGCGAUUCUGACGUGCAAAUCGAUCGUCGGAGCUGGGUAUAGGGGCGAAAGACUAAUCGAACCAUCUAGUAGCUGGUUCCCUCCGAAGUUUCCCUCAGGAUAGCUGGCGCUCGGAGGAAUGAGAAGUGGAUGACGAGUCUCAUCCGGUAAAGCGAAUGAUUAGAGGCAUUGGGGCCGAAACGACCUCAACCUAUUCUCAAACUUUAAAUGGGUGAGAACCCCGGCUUGCUUGAUACCGGUGCGCCCCUGUGCGUCGCAGCGCGCUCGCCUCGCGGCGGCGUGGCGGGCGCCUGGGGUCCCGGACGAAUCCUUUUUUUGGUCUUGAAGCCGGGGCGUGUGAUCACGGAUCACGAGUGCCAAGUGGGCCAAUUUUGGUAAGCAGAACUGGCGCUGUGGGAUGAACCAAACGCAGAGUUAAAGCGCCUAAGUGGACGCUCAUGGGAGACCAUGAAAGGUGUUGGUUGCUUAAGACAGCAGGACGGUGGCCAUGGAAGUCGGAAUCCGCUAAGGAGUGUGUAACAACUCACCUGCCGAAGCAACUAGCCCUUAAAAUGGAUGGAGCUAAAGCGUCCCGCUUAUACUCUGC
rnacentral:rRNA from 1 species